rnacentral:rRNA from 1 species
UACGUAGGGUGCGAGCGUUGUCCGGAAUCACUGGGCGUAAAGCGCACGUAGGCGGACUCUUAAGUCGGUGGUGAAAUCCUGGAGCUCAACUCCAGAACUGCCUUCGAUACUGGGAGUCUCGAGUUCGGGAGAGGUGAGUGGAACUGCGAGUGUAGAGGUGAAAUUCGUAGAUAUCGGGAGGAACACCAGUGGCGAAGGCGGCGACCUGGGCAGAUACUGACGCUGAGGUGCGAAAGCGUGGGGAGCAAACAGG